CCGGUUGAAGCCCCGCCGGGAGGGGAUGGCUCCGCGGCCCAUCAGGUAGACGGCGGGGUGACGGCCCACCGUGCCGACAACGGGUAGCCGGGUUGAGAGACCGACCGGCCAGAUUGGGACUGAGACACGGCCCAGACUCCUACGGGAGGCAGCAGUGGGGAAUCUUGCGCAAUGGGGGGAACCCUGACGCAGCGACGCCGCGUGCGGGACGGAGGCCUUCGGGUCGUAAACCGCUUUCAGCAGGGAAGAGUCAAGACUGUACCUGCAGAAGAAGCCCCGGCUAACUACGUGCCAGCAGCCGCGGUAAUACGUAGGGGGCGAGCGUUAUCCGGAUUCAUUGGGCGUAAAGCGCGCGUAGGCGGCCCGGCAGGCCGGGGGUCGAAGCGGGGGGCUCAACCCCCCGAAGCCCCCGGAACCUCCGCGGCUUGGGUCCGGUAGGGGAGGGUGGAACACCCGGUGUAGCGGUGGAAUGCGCAGAUAUCGGGUGGAACACCGGUGGCGAAGGCGGCCCUCUGGGCCGAGACCGACGCUGAGGCGCGAAAGCUGGGGGAGCGAACAGGAUUAGAUACCCUGGUAGUCCCAGCCGUAA
rnacentral:rRNA from 1 species